rnacentral:tRNA from 1 species
CAGGAGAUAGUUUAUAUAGAAUGCCAGCUUUGGGUGCUGGUGGUAGGGCUCAAGCCUUUCUCUUGA